AUUGAUCUUGACUGUCCCAUCGCGCUUAAGGAGAAAAUAAAUUUGGGUCGUCCACACACGCAGGAUCAAUCCUAGGCCGUCCGAUCGCGAGACACGUGGAUCGUCCACAUGGCCUCUUACGUGGCACCAACAUCAGCAUGCCUUGUUACACUGCGUGCUCUAGUUCAUUUGGGCUGCUGACUGGGUAGUCUUACGUGGCCGAACUUUUUUUAUUUGUACUUUGACUCAUU
rnacentral:lncRNA from 1 species